rnacentral:lncRNA from 1 species
AGCUGUUGAGACUUCGAAGGAGACUUCAGAGAACCAAGACAGUGUAAAGGAAAACAGGAAAAAAGACUUGUUAGACAUUAUUAAGGGCACGAAAGUUGAAUCGAGCACAGUAAAUGUACAAACAACAAAGCCACCCAGCAGAAGUCCACUUAAAAGCUACAACUGGCAGGCCUCAAAAAGCUGCAGGACAUGCUCUAAAGAAGAGAAAUGAGCCCCUGAGUCCUGAGUUGGUGGCAGCUGCAUCUGCUGCCCUCUUUUGACAAACAAGCCAGAGCUGCUCAGGCAGCUCCAUAGCAUGAGGAAGAGUGGGGCACAGAGAGAUGGAGAGAGACCUAAAAUUAGUUUCAGUAACAAAAUAUCAGAUAUGAAAAUUGCCAGAUGUGCUACAACUAGAGUUAAUAUUAAGACCAGAGCAUCAGACUCAGUUUGACCAAGGCUGUGACAAUUAUCCUGACCAGGAGAAGACCGCUGAUCUUAGAAACAGAAUACAAGCGAUGGUGGCAGAGGGAGGAAGUAACUCAUACCAGGAAGAACAAACAGCUGCUGGAAUAUGCUUGUGGUUUAGAGCUUCUUUUAAAAAUACUGUCAGCUGCAAAGAAAGGAAGGACUAAUAUUUUCCAUGAUGUCAGUAACAUCUUUAUGAAGAUGCUCCUUUUGAACGUGGUACAGAAAGUUGGAAAACACUUAGGCAUGGUAUCUGGCAUAGUGCCCCUUAGGGAGCACUUCAUAUACAGACAGUCCAGGGCUUAGGAUGGUUUGACUUAAAAUUUUUUUUGACUUCAUGAUGGUUCCAAAGGUGAUGCACAUUCAGCAGAAAGCGAACUUUGAGUCCCCAUACAACUAUCCUGUUUUUCAUGUUUAGGACAUUGUUCCCGUAAAUUACAUGAGGUAUUCAACCCUCUAUAAUAAAAAAUAAUUUGUGUUAGAUGAUUUUGCUCA